GUAGUAUUCCCUACGUCCCAAAAUUCUUGUCUUACAUUUGUUUAGAUAUGGAUGUAUCUAACACUAAAAUGUAACUAGAUACAUCCAUAUUUAGACAAAUUUAAGACAAGAAUUUUGGGACAGAGGGAGUACAAA
rfam:Triticum aestivum genome assembly, contig: Triticum_aestivum_CS42_TGACv1_scaffold_407790_5BL